UAGAUUCAUUAGAACAUACUCUAAUGCCUGUCUACUAUUCUAACUUUUCCAGUUUAUACAGUAUUAUAUUGAUGAUAAAUGGCACUUUUCUCUAAGUUUCCUAGAACUCGAUUUGUAUGAUUUUUCCAUUACAUUUCAUUUUUUCCCUCACAGUUAACAGCCCCCACCCACCAAGGAAGGUCUAAUUAGCCUUCCUAGGAACUAGGGAUUUCAUAGCUGAACCAAGUAUUCACAUUAGUUAGAUGAUAAUCCUGGCACAAACCCUCAAAAAAACCUAUCUUGCCUCACCCAAGAAUUUUCCUACUACAUGAUACAUGUUUGGGAGACUUCAGUUCCUGCACUUGAAGAGCUUGUGGCCAGCCAGGAAAACAAAGCAUUACAUGCAAAGCAGAAAAAAAAAACCCACUCUGACAGGAUUGCAAAAUGUUGAAGAAUGCUCUGAUGCUUAAACUGAUAUAUGAACAAUAAAGGAGUAUCUCCAAGUAAAUAAAGAGAAAUCAUUCCAGGUAGGAGGAACAAAUAAAAGAACAAAAGAAGAAAAUACAAACAGCCUGGGACAUUUUAGGGAUGAAUAAAACAACUAGUUAUAUGAAAUUUGUAAUAUUCUAGAGAAGGACCUGUUUAUGAAAUUCAAUGCAUGUCAUGACACUGGCUGAGGUAUAAGACUAGUGGAAAGCACUCAAGACUGACUAUAUGCAUAUAUUAUAUAAACCAGCUAAUAAUUAAAGUAUAUAACCAAGGAAAUAAAACAAAGAUGUAUGACUCGGUAAAUUCAUGCUGGAGAUGUUGUAAAGAACAGGUCUACUAUGUGUAGGUUCUAUAGCACCAAAACUAAGUAACAUUAUAGUACAGAAAACCUCAUGGGGAAAAGCUGACAUGACUGGAUGACUCUUGGUUAUUAGGAAAAGAGAAGUAUAAAGAAUGGCACUUAGGUACUUUUCUUUGUUCUUUUUCUUGGUUGUUUGGGGUUUUUUUGUUUUUGGUUUUUCGAGACAGGUUUCUCUGUGUAGCCCUGGCUGUCCUGGAACUCACUCUGUAGACCAGGCUUGGACUCAAAAUCCGCCUGCCUCUGCCUCCCAAGUGCUGGGUAUUUUUCUUGAGUGUGUCAGGAACAAAAAGAGAUAAAGCAGAGUAUCCCAGUUAGCUUUAACUUGACACAGAUUAGAGUCAUCACUCUGACUGGCCUGUGACAUGUCUGUAUGGGAUAGUCUUGUUGUUAGUUGAUGUAAGAGGAUCUAGUUCACUGUGGGUAGCACCACUCCAUGGGCAGUAUAAAAAAGCUAGCUGAGGAUGAGUAUGUGAGAGCUAUCAAGCAGUGAUCCUAUGUGGUUUCUGUUUCAAAUUCUUGCUCUAACUUCCCUCAGUGAUGAGCUGUAACCUGGAAGUACAUGCCAAAUAAAUCCUUUCCUCCCCUAGGUUGCUUCUGGUCAGACUUUUACCACAGC
rnacentral:lncRNA from 1 species